ACCGACCGGAAUAGAGAGGGAGAAAGAAGGGAACCCGACCGCUGCCGCUUUCGGCGGGGACUACGCGAGAGAUCCGCGAGAAGGAGAUCGGACACCGCCGCCGCCGCCGCCGCCGGAGGAGGGCCAUGGCGAUGGCAAGGCAAGUGCUUUGUGUGUGUGCUUUGCUGUCCGUGCCGCUCGCUCGCUCGCAGCCCAUCCGCUACUCCGUGGCCGAGGAGGCGGACAGCGGCUCCCUGGUCGGCAACCUGGCGCAGGACGCGGCGCUGCCGCCGGCGCAGCUCUCGGCUCGCCGCGCCCGCCUGCUGCCCGAGGACGGCCGGCAGCACUUUCGCCUCGACCGCGACAGCGGCCGCCUCGUCGUGGCCGACAGGCUCGACCGGGAGCAGCUGUGCGCCCAGUCCCACACCUGCACGCUCGCCUUCGAGCUGCUGCUGGCCGACCCGCUGCAGUUCUUUCGGGUCGAGGUGGCCCUGCAAGACAUCAAUGACCAUUCGCCCGUUUUCCCUGCUGAACGAGUCACUUUUAAGAUCCCCGAAACGAGCGAGCCUGGUUCUCGUUUCCCUCUGGAGAGGGCUUGGGACCUUGAUAUUGGCAGCAACAGUAUUCAGGCAUACAACAUCUCUCCCGAGAACCAGUACUUUAGUGUCUCCUAUGGGAGCCUGAUUAGGGGCAAGAAGUCUGUUGAACUUGUAUUGGAAAAUCCUCUAGACAGAGAGGAGCAGGCAGAGAUGCAUUUCAGUCUCAUUGCUGUGGAUGGGGGCUCUCCUCCCAGAAGUGGGACCACCCAAAUUCACAUUGUAAUUCUGGAUGCCAAUGACAAUGCUCCCGUCUUCACACAGGAGGUGUAUGAUGUGCAGGUUUUGGAAAAUGCACCAAAAGGCUCUGUGGUUCUGACUGUGCUGGCAACUGAUCGAGAUGUUGGAGUUAAUGGAGACAUCUCCUAUCAGUUCAGCGAAGUAGUCAGCCAAAGGGACUCAGCAUUUGAGAUUGAUCCCAUAACAGGUGAAAUUAAACUCACAAAGCCACUGGACUUCGAGGCAGCAGAGACUCACGAACUCAGUGUGAGGGCCACAGAUGGAGGGGGACUUUCAGCAAUCUGCAGGGUGUUGGUGCAGGUGUUGGAUGUGAAUGACAACGCCCCGGAGCUGGAGGUCAGUUCCUUCAGCAGUCCCCUCCCCGAGAACUCAGCGCCCGGCACGGUCGUUGCCCUCUUCACUGUCCGGGACCGCGAUGCCGGGGCCAACGGCAAGGUCUCGUGUGCCCUGGACGAUCAGCUCGUCUUCUCCCUGCGCCCAGCCUACAAGAAUUACUACGAGCUGGUGACCGUGAGUGCCCUGGACCGCGAGGAGACGGCUCAGUACAUGCUGACGGUGACAGCGGCAGACGCGGGCUCCCCUCCUCUGACGAGCAGCCACACCUUCACCGUGGCCAUCUCGGACGUCAAUGACAACGCCCCUGUCUUCAGCCAGACCUCGUACACCAUGUACGUGCGGGAGAACAAUGUCCCCGGCGUGCUGGUCGGAGCCGUGAGCGCUGCAGAUGCCGACGUGGGGCUCAACGCCAAGGUGAGCUAUUCGCUGUCAGCGGGGCAAGCGGCGGAGCGGCCUCGGUGCUCGUGCCUGUCGGUGAACUCGGAGAACGGGCAGGUGUUUGUGCUGCGAGGCCUGGACUACGAGCAGCUGAGGCAGAGCGAGGUGGUGGUGAGCGCCUCUGACGCGGGCUCUCCUCCCCUGCGAGCCAACGUCACCGUCCGCCUGCUGGUGCUGGACGAGAACGACAACGCCCCGCUCGUGCUGUACCCGGCGCACGACAGCGGCCCGGCCUCCAGCGAGCUGGUGCCCGUGUCGGCUGAGGCGGGCUACCUCGUCUCCAAAGUGGUGGCCGUCGAUGCCGACUCGGGACAGAACUCGUGGCUCUCCUACCACCUGCUCAGGGCCACCGACCCCGGGCUCUUUGCCGUGGCCGCCCAAAGCGGCGAGGUCAGGCUCAGGAGGCCGCUGACAGACAGAGACAGCGUCAAGCACAAGCUCGUCGUCCUGGUGCGAGACAACGGCCGCCCACCCCUCUCAGCCACCGCCGCUCUCAGCGCACUCCUGCUCAAGGACUUCUCCGACCUGCGCCAACCGCACAGCAGCCCGGCCACCGACGACCAGCCCGGCUCCCUCACCACCUACUUGAUCCUCGCCUUGCUCUUCGUCUCCCUGCUCUUCCUCGGCUCCACGGCAGCCUUCGUGGCUCGCAGGCUGUGCAAGAGAAAGGAGCUGAAGGCUGGCCACGUGCUUUACGGGGCCGACAACUUGCCCAGCGGCCUGGCCGAGGCAGCUGCUGCAGGGACCCUGCCCCACCCCUACUGCUACGAGAUCAGCCUCACCACGGGCUCGGCCAACAGCGACUUCAAGUUCCUCAAACCCUUCGUACCCAGCCUGACACCACAGCCCUGUGCCGUGGCCGGGGGCCCCAGUGAGGAACAGGUUUUCCCUUGUGUCCCUGUUCCCACAGAGGACGUGACACCGGACGAUGCUGGGUCUGUCUCUGCAGAACAGUUCAACCGUCUUUCCUUUAACUAGCAUGGGCACGGGGUCAGCAUAGGCAGAGGCUUCAUGCCUCGUGGUAGAAAGGGAUUCAGGCUGCAGCCUGUGGGAAUGGUUCCUGCAGAGGAAAUCUGUAUUUUCAAUUGGGUUAACCACAUUCUGGAAAAUUUUAAGUCAGAAUAUGAUUGCAUUCCCCUGGAAACCAACAAGCAAACGGAAUAAAGGGAACAUAAUCUCUUUCACUCAAUUAUUCAUAUAUUUCAGGUCUGUUAAGGCCAUUCCUGAGAGGCUUUAAGUAUCCUGUUAGCUCUCUCAGCUAAGCUCUUGUCUCUCUUGCUGUCAGACAAGAAAGUGGACCUUUAAUUCUGUUCUGUAACAGUAUGGCACAGAAAAUGAGACAGACAAACCUCAUCCUUGUUGAAAUGCACAAAGGCCUUUCCCCAGCUCAGAAGAGUAAGGAAAUUGUGAGUGCUGUGUCACAACCCCAUGUGAGCACCAAGCUCUUUCUUUCCUGCGUUCUGAAUGUCUCUGUCUGAAUCUGUGGGCUCUGUGCACUUCUCUUUUUUCACACUGUGUCAGUCAAUACAACCACUGUGUUUUUCCUAAUGUUCACUGGUGUUGCCCAGUGAAUGAGGUAAUUCCUGUCACUCAGCCUUUGCAAAGCAGGUAAUUCCAGCUCAGCAGGCAAGGAGGGUAUUUUGACCCUUUGAGUACAGAGGAUUCAUGUUCUUUAUGUCAGAGAAGAGCAGCAAAAUGCACAGUAAGAUCUAUACUUUGGCCAAUAAGAGGGGAUUGGGUGUUCUGUCUCCUUGCAAUACAGCAGCACAGUGUUGGGCACAAACAGUGUUG